GCUUCCGUGGCGCAAUGGUAGCGCGUAGGACUUCUAUUAAUGAGGUUCCAUCCUAAGGUUGCGGGUUCGAGCCCCGCCGGAAGUG